CAGUAGCGUAUAUUAAAGUUGUUGCAGUUAAAAAGCUCGUAGUUGGAUUUCGGGGUGGCCUGGCUGGUCCGCCGCAAGGUGAGUACUGGUCAGCCGCCCUUCCUCUCGAAAGCCCCGACUGCUCUUUACUGCAGUGGUCGGGUAGUUCGGGACGUUUACUUUGAAAAAAUUAGAGUGUUCAAGGCAGGCUAUCGCCUGAAUACAUUAGCAUGGAAUAAUGGAAGAGGACCUCGGUCCUAUUUUGUUGGUUUCUAGGGCCGAAGUAAUGAUUAAGAGGGACAGUUGGGGGCAUUCGUAUUUAAUUGUCAGAGGUGAAAUUCUUGGAUUUAUGAAAGACGAACUAGUGCGAAAGCAUUUGCCAAGGAUGUUUUCAUUAA
rnacentral:rRNA from 1 species